CACGUAGGGGCCAAGCGUUGUCCGGAUUCAUUGGGCGUAAAGAGCUCGUAGGCGGUUCAGUUAGUCGGGUGUGAAAUCUCCGGGCUCAACCCGGAGGGGCCACCCGAUACUGCUGUGACUCGAGUCCGGUAGGGGAGUGGGGAAUUCCUGGUGUAGCGGUGAAAUGCGCAGAUAUCAGGAGGAACACCGGUGGCGAAGGCGCCACUCUGGGCCGGUACUGACGUGAGGAGCGAAAAGCGUGGGUAGCAAACAGG
rnacentral:rRNA from 1 species